rnacentral:rRNA from 1 species
AGUGAACGCUGGCGGUAGGCCUAACACAUGCAAGUCGAACGGCAGCACAGUAAGAGCUUGCUCUUACGGGUGGCGAGUGGCGGACGGGUGAGGAAUACAUCGGAAUCUACUUUUUCGUGGGGGAUAACGUAGGGAAAUUUACGCUAAUACCGCAUACGACCUACGGGUGAAAGCAGGGGAUCUUCGGACCUUGCGCGAUUGUAUGAGCCGAUGUCGGAUUAGCUAGUUGGCGGGGUAAAGGCCCACCAAGGCGACGAUGCGUAGCUGGUCUGAGAGGAUGAUCAGCCACACUGGAACUGAGACACGGUCCAGACUCCUACGGGAGGCAGCAGUGGGGAAUAUUGGGCAAUGGGCGCAAGCCUGAUCCAGCCAUACCGCGUGGGUGAAGAAGGCCUUCGGGUUGUAAAGCCCUUUUAUUGGGAAAGAAAAGCAGCAGGUUAAUACCCCGCUGUUCUGACGGUACCCAAAGAAUAAGCACCGGCUAACUUCGUG